rnacentral:lncRNA from 1 species
GUAAUUGAUGUAUAAUCUAAAGGACAAUCUUAAUAUGAACACCACCACAACAACAUAUUUAGUAUAAACUCACAAAGUGAGGUCUGAAAAGAAAUAAAGUUCACGCAGUGUAAUCCUUACUUUGGAGGUACAAAGGUUGUUUCUCAGACCCUCACCCACCUAAAAAGAAAUAGAGAUGAGAAACUUGUUGGGAAAAUCGGGCAAUUUUUCCACUAAUAACAAAAACAACCAAAAAUAUCCGAUAAAUAAUAUUGAAUACUAAAAAUAAAGACACCUAAAAAUUUGAUAAUGGAGUUCAGCCAAUUAGGCUUGAUCUCCGAGCACCCAAUGUUUUUAUCAAUUGUGGGAGAAGAGAA